rnacentral:rRNA from 1 species
CCUACGGGAUGCAGCAGUGAGGAAUAUUGGUCAAUGGGCGGAAGCCUGAACCAGCCAAGUCGCAUGAGGGAUUAAGGCCCUGCGGGUCGUAAACCUCUUUUGCCGGGGAGCAGUGGUUCGGACGCGUCCGGACCGGGAGAGUACCCGGAGAAAAAGCAUCGGCUAACUCCGUGCCAGCAGCCGCCGUAAUACGGAGGAUGCGAGCGUUAUCCGGAUUUAGUGGGUUUAAGGGGAGCGUAGAUGGGUUGUUAAGUCAGUUGUGAAAGUUUGCGGCUCAACCGUAAAAUUGCAAUUGAUACUGGCAGUCUUGAGUACAGUUGAGGUAGGCGGAAUUCGUGGUGUAGCGGUGAAAUGCUUAGAUAUCACGAAGAACUCCGAUUGCGAAGGCAGCUUACUAAACUGCCACUGACAUUGAUGCUCGAAAGUGUGGGUAUCAAACAGGAUUAGAUACCCCGGUAGUC